GGGUACUCUCAAAACUUGUUUGGAUAGAAAACUCUUGGGGGUUUUGUUUGGGUUUUUUUCAAGGUGCAGUGACCU
ensembl:miRNA